rnacentral:rRNA from 1 species
UUCUGGUUGAUCCUGCCAGACCUGACUGCUAUCGGAUUGGUACUAAGCCAUGCGAGUCAUUGUAGCAAUACAAGGCGGACGGCUCAGUAACACGUAGUCAACCUAACUCGUGGACGUGGAUAACCUCGGGAAACUGAGAAUAAACCACGAUAGAUCAUAGUGCCUGGAAUGGCUUAUGGUCCAAACAGUUUACUGCCAUGGGAUGGGACUGCGGCCUAUCAGCUUGUUGGUGAGGUAAUGGCCCACCAAGGCGAUUACAGGUACGGGCUCUGAGAGGAGAAGCCCGGAGAUGGGUACUGAGACACGGACCCAGGCCCUAUGGGGCGCAGCAGGCGAGAAACCUUAGCAAUGUGCGGAAGCACGACUGGGUCAGUCCGAGUGAUUCCUGAUAAAGGAGUCUUUUGCUUGUCCUAAAAGCACAGGUGAAUAAGGGGUGGGCAAGUCUGAUGUCAGCCGCCGCGGUAAUACCAGCACCUCGAGUGGUCAGGUCGUUUAUUGGGCCUAAAGCAUCCGUAGCCGGCUCUGCAAGUCUUCGGUCAAAUCCACCUGCUCAACAGAUGGGCUGCUGGAGAUACUACAGAGCUAGGGAGUGGGAGAGGCAGACGGUAUUCAGUGGGUAGGGGUAAAAUCCUCUGAUCCAUUGAGGACCACCAGUGGCGAAGGCGGUCUGCCAGAACACGUUCGACGGUGAGGGAUGAAAGCUGGGGGAGCAAACCGGAUUAGAUACCCGGGUAGUCCCAGCUGUAAACGAUGCAAACUCGGUGAUGCAUUGGCUUAUGGCCAAUGCAGUGCCGCAGGGAAGCCGUUAAGUUUGCCGCCUGGGAAGUACGGACGCAAGUCUGAAACUUAAAGGAAUUGGCGGGGGAGCACCACAAGGGGUGAAGCCUGCGGUUCAAUUGGAGUCAACGCCGGA